GCAGACACAUUCCAGCCAAUCAGCAGCAGACCCUCCCUCCCAGACCCUUCCACCUCCUGGACAGCUCACUAAGAAUGCAGCUUCACAAUGAAUGUAAAAUGGAUGCUGUCCAGGAGGUGGGAGGGUCUAGGAGGGAGGGUCUGCUGCUGAUUGGCUGGAAUGUGUCUG